rnacentral:sRNA from 1 species
UGCAGAGGCUUGCGCUCAGGCUUUCGAUCCGAACGACGACGUCCGUUCGGCUGACAUGUUCAAAAGAACAUGAAAUCGUCACGGAUUUAGCGCACUGAGCGAUCCACACGGCGCAAGCU